rnacentral:rRNA from 1 species
AAUGAACGUUGGCGGCGUGGAUUAGGCAUGCAAGUCGAGCGGAAAGGCCCGCAAGGGCACUCGAGCGGCGUAAGGGACAGUAAUGUGUAGGUACGUACCCCUGGGUCUAGGAUAGCUGCGGGAAACUGCAAUUAAUACUAGAUGACGUCUCCGGACCAAAGGUGUGAUUCCACCCAGGGAGCGGCCUACAUCCUAUUAGCUAGUUGGUGAGGUGACGGCUCACCAAGGCGAAGAUGGGUAGCAGGUGUGAGAGCACGACCUGCGUCACUGGGACUGAGACACUGCCCAGACACCUACGGGUGGCUGCAGUCGAGAAUCUUCGGCAAUGGGCGAAAGCCUGACCGAGCGACGCCGCGUGCGGGAUGAAGGCCU